GGUGGUUCUUGAGUGACACAGCCCGGAAUCAGGUUCCCUCCUCUCUAGUUUCAGGUGCAUCACCCGAGAACCACA
rfam:Myotis lucifugus cont2.63223, whole genome shotgun sequence.